rnacentral:rRNA from 1 species
AACGAACGCUGGCGGCAUGCCUAACACAUGCAAGUCGAACGAGACCUUCGGGUCUUGUGGCGCACGGGUGCGUCACGCGUGGGAAUCUGCACUUGGGUUCGGCAUAACUCGCCGACAGGCGUGCUAAUACCGGAUGAUGACGUAAGUCCAAGGAUUUAUCGCCCCAGGAUGAGCCCGAGUUGGAUUAGCUAGUUGGGGAGGUAAAGGCUCACCAAGGCGACGAUCCAUAACUGGUCUGAGAGGAUGAUCAGCGACACUGAGACUGAGACGCGGCCGAGACUCCUACGCGAGGCAGCAGUGGGGAAUAUUGGACAAUGGGCGGAAGCCUGAUGCAGCACGGCCGCGUGAGUGAUGAAGGCCUUAGAGUAGUAAAGCGCUUGUAACCGGGAUGAUAAUGACCGUACCGGGAGAAUAAGCCCCGGCUAACUCCGUG